rnacentral:tRNA from 1 species
GCGCCAAUUGUGUAAUAGCGUAAAGCAUUCCCGCUCCGUCAGCAGGAGGUGCGGGUUCGAGUCCCGCCUGGCGCU